rnacentral:rRNA from 1 species
UACAUAGGCCCCAAGCGUUAUCCGGAAUUACUGGGCGUAAAGAGUUUGUAGGCGGGGAGGUAAGUUUGACAUGAAAGACCGGAGCUUAACUCCGUGUUUGUGUUGAAAACUGCUUCUCUAGAAUCAGGGAGAGGCAAGCAGAACUGUGCGAGGAGGGGUGCAAUCCGUAGAUACGCACAAGAAUACCAAAAGCGAAGGCAGCUUGCUGGAACUGUAUUGACGCUGAGAAACGAAAGCGUGGGGAGCAAAAAGG